rnacentral:rRNA from 1 species
ACAGCAGUAGCCGCGGUAAUACGAAGGGUGCAAGCGUUAAUCGGAAUUACUGGGCGUAAAGCGUGCGUAGGCGGUUUGUUAAGUCUGUUGUGAAAUCCCCGGGCUCAACCUGGGAAUGGCAAUGGAUACUGGCAAGCUAGAGUGUGUCAGAGGAUGGUGGAAUUCCCGGUGUAGCGGUGAAAUGCGUAGAGAUCGGGAGGAACAUCAGUGGCGAAGGCGGCCAUCUGGGACAACACUGACGCUGAGGCACGAAAGCGUGGGGAGCAAACAGGAUUAGAUACCCCGGUAGUCCCUGUCUCUUAUAC